ACACUGCCGAGGAGUCCCAGACUAGGGCGAAACGGCCGUCCAGUGC
rfam:Schistosoma haematobium scaffold687_2, whole genome shotgun sequence.